UGACUUCACUUUGGAAGAGAUUGCAGCCU
rnacentral:piRNA from 1 species